GCCGGGUGUGGUGGUGCGCACCUGUAAUCCCAGCUACCUGGGAGGCUGAGGCAGGAGAAUCACUGGCACCCGGGAGCUGGAGGUUGCAGUGAGCCGAGAUUGCGCCACUGCACUUCAGCCCAGGUGAUAGAGUGAGACUCCGUCUCAA
rfam:Gorilla gorilla gorilla genomic chromosome, chr2B, whole genome shotgun sequence